CUUCCGAGCCAGCGGAGCGUCGGGGCGCAGCGCGAAGCGGGGAUUUAGGCCUUCCCCGCAGCCCUCAUUCUCCGCCCGGGUGAGCUCCUGGCUGCUCGUGGGCUCGCAGGCCACGAGCCUCGGUCCUGGAAGCUGUCCUCGCCUCACCCCACUCUGCCCCUUCAGUAUUUCUCAAUGGCCGGCGCUCUAGGACACUUCCGACGCGGGGGAGGGGUACCCCUCUCGCGCGCGGGUUUAUCAGUUCCUUCCGGCCGCGCCCGGCCGCUGCAGAGCCUGCACCUCUACGCUCGGGCAAGCAGCCGCGGGUCCUCGCUGUGCCAAGGGAGCCCAGGAGAGUGCAGACUCAGUGAGAAGCGGCCACUGCCCUGCAGGAUGAAAGGAUGAAUGGCUCCGGGCCCAUUGCACAAUCUCCGGUAUAAUUAGCCAAGGGCGGAGGCGCAGGGCUCAUCCCCGGGGUGGCACACUCUCAGAUCGGUUUCCCUUUCGGCUGCAUAGCCAGGAUUUUAUUAAAUAGGGACGAAAGGCCCCUGUCCGGCCUUCCUCCGUGAGGGUUCAGGUAUUAUGAAUGAGAAGGCAACUCCGACAAGCCUCUGAGGUCGCCACUUCAGCUGGCCGCUGCUGGGAAGAGCUGUUUCUAGCAAGUUCCUACCCCGUUCUAGCCCCAUCUCCACCGACUCUAGGAAAGCCGGGGAAGCCAUUAGGAUGCAGUCCGGUAUUCUCAACAGAAGGCAAGAAGAUUGCAAACCGAAUCUUAUGGGGCGGGAAGAUUCUCCUCCAGCACUUGAAUUUCUAAAUCAGGCUGGGUUCGAGUUACUCUAUGAAGCCACCCACGGGGACACUGAGGCAAAGGAAACCCGUUCCUGCCUUCUAGGGUCGUGUGUGCCAGGCAUCUAAAGAGGGGGUUAGGAUCGUGGCUGUGGCUGCCAUUGGCACAUGUGAGGAAGACAACAGCAAAGAAAAGGAACAGCGGUAUAAGAGAACCAGAAUCUUAAAACUAAAAGAAGAUAAAAAGUCUGUGAUUGGGCUCAGAGGUUAAGAGCACUAGCUGCUCUUCCAAAGGUCCUGAGUUCAGUUCCCAGUACCUACAUGGUGGGUCACAACCAUCUAUAGUGAGAUCUGUUACUCUCUUUUGGCCUGCGGGUGUAUAUGCAGGGAGAAUACUGUAUAAAUAAUGAAUAAAUAAAUAUUUUUUAAAGUGUGUUUAUGGCAGUUGUGGUUUCAAUAAAUCAAACUUUUUUUUUUUUCAAGACAGUUUCUCUGUGUAGCCUUAGUUGUCCUGUUCUUGCUUUGUAGACCAGGCUGGCCUUGAACUCUCAGAAAUUCACCUGCCUCUGACUCCCCAAGCGCUGAGAUUCGAGGUGUGUGCAAACAUUUUUGAAUUGUCAUUAUUUGUGUAUGUGUGCAUUUGUGCUGUUUGAGACAGGGUCUUACUCUGUAGCCCUGGCUGGCCUGGAUAGAACUCACUGUGUAGACAAAGGUGGCCUUUAACUAACAGAUUCACCUGUCUCUGCCUCUAAAGGUGUGUGACAACAUAGCCCUUGUUUUGUUUUGAGACAAGUCUCCAGUAGCCUAGGCUGCCCUCCAGUCACAGUGACCACCCUCUUGUCUAGCUCUCCAUGUUCUGAGAUCACAGGCAUUACUACCUGCUUAGACCAAACGUGCUUUUUCACAUGCACACUAGGUAUGGAGCACGUGGCCUUUACUACUGAGCGCCAUCUUUACCUCACUGGAAUAUUACCUAUGCUUGUUUGCACUAAGGAAAGAUGAAACAAUUCAGUAAGGCUGGACCAUGUGUUGGGUCACCUCCACUGUACAGCAAGCCGCCACAAAUACAGUAGCUUAAAAUGGGAAGCAUGACUCUAACCUGUCUGCUUAUGUGUUCUGCUAGAGAGCCUGCUCAGCAGGGCCAGGCAGCCUAGGACAGCCUCCCUCACAGAUGUGAUGGACAGGCUGAUUGGCUGGAACUGAGUAAGCUCCACUGUGUUCUGUGUAACCUGUUAUCCUCAGCAGGCCAGGCCAGAUCAGACCACAUGGUGUUGGCAGGGUUCCCAGAUCAGCAGCAAGGCCAACCCUACUGUACGUGCGUUUUUAAAAAAGGCUCUGCUUAAACCACAUUUGUUAAUACUCCGUUAGCCAAAGGGGUCAUGUGGUCAACCCAGAGUUAGA